AUACAGACGCGGGCACCACGCAUACACACAACACGCACGUGCAUCUUGAUCCGCAUAGACGCACAACAGAAGCCGAGUCCCACACAGACAGGAGCGUCCCUCUCUGCUUCUUCCUGCGCUGUGCAGACCCUUUCGUCCCUCGAGGGCAUUCGGCCGGUUCUUUACGGUCGCCGCUCCUCCUUCGACCCGGUCGUGUCGUUGGCCGUUGGACUUGCACGCGUGCUCCGCUCCUGCGGCGGGUUUGGUUCGCUGGCGAGGGAGUGGAAGGGCGGUGGUAUGUUGAGGGCGCGGAGCCUCGCGGAUGUGUAGCGCCUCCCGCUCAGGUCUCCCGAGACUCUUCCUUAACGUGAGCCCUAACGAUGGAUGCCUGUAGAUGGAGGCCCACUGGUCGCCGCUCGAAGCCCUUCUCGCGCGGCGACUCGCGAGCGCCGUCAUACACGCAAGAUGCACCGCUCGAGCGUGAACGCCAUGGCUGCCGCUCACAGCAGCGGCAAGGCUCGGCUGCACGGGUCGGCGGCCGGCCUUGCAAAGAUCGAGAGCACGCCAGACGUGGUGGCCGCGCUGCAUCUUCAGUUUCAGCUGACGCCGCGGCGUCGGCGCUGCGCCAACAGUGUGAGACAACGCGGUUUCUGGCGCGCCUUCUCGCUGGCCUCACGCUGCAGUGGCGUGAGGUGAUGGCAGACCUCACAGAAGCGCAGGUACCUUUCAACAUCAGCGACGCUGCAGCGGCGGCGGCAGCAUCUAAACUGGGCGAGCGCGCGCACAUUGAUCGCCGUCACCACCACCGUCGUCGGUCGUUCUCGCCUUUGCAGCCGCGGUGCCGCUGCCGCUCCGGCUCGGCAGUGGCAAAAGCGGCGUCGAAGUCGUACCUCACGGAGGAGCUCCGCUUCGCGGGCCUGCACGCCGAAGCCGAGCAUGCGCUCUUGCGCUGCCGUGAGCGACGACGCGCACCGUCGGCAUCCCUCUCAGAUCCCUGCGAGGGCCGAUCGCGCCACUGCGCCAGCGGCGCCGAUGCUUCGACGCUGAAGCGCUGCCUGGAUGUGGCUGAUCAGAAAGUCGGCGGCGCCUUGCGCACCGACGCUGCAUUUUGUUCGACUGCAACCAACUGGCACUGCCUCACCCCCGCCAUCCAGUGGAUUCCGUACUUGUUGAAGGACGACGCUGAGGAGCGCCACGACACGAGCACGCGCGACCGCCGCGAUCUGUGGGAAAGCGGCCUGCUCUACGCCUCCCCCCAUCGACCCAGGCAGUAUAGUAACGCACGGAUGGAACGAGAUGCCAGGGACGGCGAGGGCGUUUGCGUUGGGAGUGACAUGGGUGCUGACGCGCAUCUCCGGCGCGCUGUACUAGAAGGGGCGGCGCGGAGCGUGGAAGUGAUUAUACUCGGCAUGCGUCAGGUUCGCGAGGUGCUGUCGGCGACGGCGGUGACCACCGUUAGUAACAACGACAACGGCGGAAGCGGUCGGCAUCGCUUUCACCGUGGCGGUCAUCCCAGCUCGAGUAGGGCCAGUCCCUUGUCUACGCGGUCAGACUCCGCCUCCAGCGCUGCGAGCGCCGAAGCGAAUCAGGUAUCGGCGCACCGCCGUCGCCGCAUGUCCCACGAAGCGCACACGCAGCAGAGCUCGGGCAUGGCGCUUCGUGAUGGCGCGCGCCGUAGCAGCGCACGGUGCAGCGGCUAUGGACUUGGCCACAGCGAGGGCGUGGCACCAUCGUCCAUCUUCGUCACCUCUGCAGCAUCGCCGUCACGCUCGCAGCGGCGCAGUCGAAGCGCCGGAGACACACCGUUUGCAACGGCAGCAACACCAGCUGCUGCAGGUGGUGUUUUGGUGUACCCCGCCCCACCGGCGUCAGAGCGUGUCUACAUCUACCCCCGCGCAGACAGGAGCGCCGCCGUCGUGUCGCCGCUGCGCCAUCGCUCGUACUCGGCGAUGACAGCAGAUGUGUCUGCCGCCGCCCCUCUGUCUCAGUGGAACCGCAAGCUGGGGUGGCAGGCCACGGGGGCAACAGUGUCGGUGGGAGUAAAGACAGGGGUCGCACCGCCCACCGGAUUCGCGGGGUCGAUGGACGCUCUCAGCUCACUGUCGGAUCCGUCCAGUGAUCAUGCGUCUCCGGCACAGCCCAUGGCGCUGCAGACAGCUUCCCCGACGACGCGUUCUCGACUGCCUCCAUCUACCUUGCCUUCCUAUGUAGCUGCCGUUAUUGCACGCCGUACAUCACAAGUGCGCUGGACAGCCCUCGCGCACGAAGAAGGCGAGGCGCGGCUGCGCAUCGUCAUGGCGCAUGGCUGUCGCCUCAUGCGCGUCUUGCGCGACCACUACGAGCGCCUGCGUGAGCUCGAGUGGGAGAGCAGGCGGCAUUCGCUCAUCACCAAGAUCGGGGUCGUAGCCGGUGAACAGGGGGCCAAAACAGUGCGGCCCCCUGCCCCAAGAGCAGCAGCGAGGGCAAGCACUCGAACAAGCGACACCGACGGCGUUGCGGGCCCCGCCAACUCCCCUUCCCCGACACCCUCGCUGUCGUUUCCCUCGGCUUUCGCCGUCCCCGCUCACACAGAAACGAGCAGCGAAGUGGCCAUGAGCCCAGCGGCACAGAUACCGCCAGCGCGCAAUGGAGGGCGCGACUACGAAUGGGAAGGCACGCCCACCGAAGCACAACCUUCCGCGUCCACCACUGCCACUGCCAUGGUCAUCUUAAACACGUACGCGUCGUCGUCCCCUUCACAGAGGCGGCAGCCGGUGUGGGAGAUGAACAGCGCCACGCACAGCCGAGUAAGUGCCGCACGCUACUCGGCAGCAGCGUCGCACGCGUCACGGUUACCAGCGCGUCGGCUGCCUGCAAGCCACCUGCCGCCGGUCGUCUUACAUGACAGCAGCGUCGCGGGGGCAGUGACCACCUCGUCUGCCGCCGCGGAUGCUCCGAAGGCGCCAGCUUCUGUGCCUGCAUCCGCCCCACGCCCAUCGGCAAAGCAGUUCGAGCUGCGCUCUCCGCCGCACGUCCGGCCCUCGGCGUUGUUGCAGCAGCUACGGAAUGCAGCUGCCGUGGUGGGUGAGGAGGAGAAGUACGCCGAGCACAUCCCGUUCAUGACGCGCCAUGCGCACAGCCACCCCACCAGCGCUAACUCCUGCCUGCUGCUGUCGCCGCUCGAGGAGUCUGCCGAGGAGGCCAUAUCGCAGAAUGCAAGUAGCGACCUCGACUCCAGAACAACUGCGGCAAGCACCAGCGGCAAGCAGAAUGUCAGCUGCAGCGCCGACAGCAGCAGCUCCUCCGUCGCAUACAUCGUGGAAGAGAACGCGGAGCGACAUUUUCCAUCGAGCACGGCCAAAACCGCCGCUGGGCUCAUGGCAACUGCGGGCGAUCGCGCUUACCUGGCAGCCGCCUCUCAAGGCCCACCACCGCCACCACGAGUAGUAGCGAAUGGGGCUCACCUUGGCAAUGUCGAAGAUGAAGCGCCUCCAAGUCCUCGUUCCGACGGUGCGGCGCCACAGAACUUGGCCAUCGCGGUGGAGCUGUUCCCGGUGGGCGACGCCGACGUCAGCGCUGCAUGCGCUCCUCUGCCGAGUAAGCGGCUGAUCUUUUCGCCCUCUCCGCUGCCGUCAGUGCCGAACAUGAACAACCUAGGCAAUGCCAACACGGCCACUGUCGAUGUCUUCGAGGUGGCGACUGUGACGGACGAGGCAGAUGCUGCGAGCUUUAGCUCCGUCGCCUCCUUCCACGAGAAUGCUGCGGAGUCUCCAGUGGCGAGUGUUGGUGCGGCAGCGGCAGGUGAUACGGCGGUCACCAAUCUCACAACCGGUGAGUGCUUCACGGAGGAACCCCUCAAUGGGUACUCCCUACCCCCGGCAGAUCCUGCGCCCCGCUAGUGAUGGAGCGGGCAACGCUGAUCUCGAUGCGUGGGUAGGUAUCAGCAUGUCGUGUGUGUGCUGCGCUCGUUUUUUUUCUGCCGUUUCAUUGGCACAUGUGUCGAGUGUGUGUGUGUGUGUGUGUGUUCGUGCGGGAAAAGCAAUGGGCGAUGCAUGUGAGGCGGGCCGGCCGCCACGGAGAUGCAAACGAGUCAGCAGAGACAUCUGACACACAU
rnacentral:misc_RNA from 1 species